rnacentral:rRNA from 1 species
UGGGGAAUAUUGGACAAUGGGCGCAAGCCUGAUCCAGCAAUGCCGCGUGAGUGAUGAAGGCCUUCGGGUCGUAAAGCUCUUUUACCCGGGAUGAUAAUGACAGUACCGGGAGAAUAAGCUCCGGCUAACUCCGUGCCAGCAGCCGCGGUAAUACGGAGGGAGCUAGCGUUGUUCGGAAUUACUGGGCGUAAAGCGCACGUAGGCGGUUACUCAAGUCAGAGGUGAAAGCCCGGGGCUCAACCCCGGAACUGCCUUUGAAACUAGGUGACUGGAAUCUUGGAGAGGCGAGUGGAAUUCCGAGUGUAGAGGUGAAAUUCGUAGAUAUUCGGAAGAACACCAGUGGCGAAGGCGACUCGCUGGACAAGUAUUGACGCUGAGGUGCGAAAGCGUGGGGAGCAAACAGG